AGUUCAGAUUGCAGGCUGAAACUCGCCUGCAUGAAGUCGGAAUUGCUAGUAAUCGCAGAUCAGCAUGCUGCGGUGAAUACGUCCCCGGGCCUUGUACACACCGCCCGUCACACCAUGGGAGUCGGUAACACCCGAAGCCUGUAGUCUAACCGCAAGGAGGACGCAGUCGAAGGUGGGAUUGAUGACUGGGGUGAAGUCGUAACAAGGUAUC
rnacentral:rRNA from 1 species